GGCAGGGUAGCUCAGCUGGUUAGAGCGCUGGUCUCAUAAGCCGGAGGUCGGGGAUUCGAGUUCCCCCUCUGCUACCA
rnacentral:tRNA from 1 species